rnacentral:rRNA from 1 species
UACGUAGGGCGCAAGCGUUGUCCGGAAUUAUUGGGCGUAAAGAGCUCGUAGGCGGCUUGUUGCGUCGGUUGUGAAAGCCCGGGGCUUAACCCCGGGUCUGCAGUCGAUACGGGCAGGCUAGAGUGUGGUAGGGGAGAUCGGAAUUCCUGGUGUAGCGGUGAAAUGCGCAGAUAUCUGGAGGAAUACCGGUGGCGAAGGCGGCAUCCUGGACCGACAUUGACGCUGAGGAGCGAAAAGCUAGGGGAGCAAACGGGG